rnacentral:rRNA from 1 species
GAUUCUGGCUCAGAGUUAACGCUGGCGGCGUGCCUAACACAUGCAAGUCGAGCGAAUUCUACGAGAGUAUCGUAGAGAUUAGCGGCAAACGGGUGAGUAACACAUGGGAAACCUUCCUUAGAAUGGGGAAUAUCUCCGUGAAAACGGAGCUAAUACCGCAUAAGACCACAGUUUGGCAUCAAACAGGGGUAAAGCAGCAAUGCGUUUUAAGAUGGUCCUGUGUCCUAUCAGCUAGUUGGUGGGGUAGAGGCCUACCAAGGCAAAGACGGGUAUCCGGCCUGAAAGGGUGAACGGACACACUGGAACUGAGACACGGUCCAGACUCCUACGGGAGGCAGCAGUAGGGAAUUUUCGGCAAUGGACGAAAGUCCUGACCGAGCAACGCCGCGUGAACGAAGAAGUAUUUCGGUAUGUAAAGUUCUUUUGUUUGGGAAGAAAAUAAAUUGACUGUACCAAACGAAUAAGCUCCGGCUAACUACGUGCCAGCAGCCGC